AUGUCGUCCGCGGUGGAAGCCAUCUCCUGCUCCAAGGUCGCCGACAUCGCCGCGGCCGGGCUUGCGGAGGCCAAGGAGUGCGCCGCGGCGGUGGCGGAGCACGGCGGGGCCGACGCUGCGGCCGCGGCGACGAACGGGAAGAAGUGCGGCGGCGACGUCGCGGCGCCGCCGCAUUGCGGCAAGGGCGAGCUGGAGGAGGACGACGAGGACGGCGAGAAGGUCCCCGAGCACAUCGACCUCGGCCCCAUCCUCAGCAUCAAGGACCAGCUCGAGAAGGACAAGGACGACGAGAGCCUGAGGAGGUGGAAGGAGCAGCUGCUUGGCAGCGUGGAUUUGAACUCCGUGGGAGAGACGCUGGAGCCGGACGUGAAGAUCAUGAGCCUGUCCAUCCAGUCCCCGGGCCGGCCGGACAUCUUCCUGCCGCUGCCGGUGGAGGCCAGCGGCAAGGGGGUGUGGUUCACCCUCAAGGAAGGCUCUCCGUACAAGCUCAAGUUCACCUUCUCCGUCAGCAACAACAUCGUCUCCGGCCUCCGCUACACCAACACCGUCUGGAAGACCGGCAUCAAAGUGGACAGCGCCAAGGAGAUGCUGGGCACGUUCAGCCCGCAGCCGGAGCCGUACGCGUACGUGACGCCGGAGGAGACCACGCCGUCCGGGAUGUUUGCCCGGGGAUCCUACUCUGCCAAGACCAAGUUCCUGGACGACGACCGGAAGUGCUACCUGCAGAUCAACUACACCUUCGACAUACGCCGGGAGUGGCCGUCGUCAGGCUGA
rnacentral:rRNA from 1 species